rnacentral:misc_RNA from 1 species
GCAAAACCACAACUUCUUCCAAUUCCAUUUUCUCCAUUUUUUUGCUCAAGAAUUCUCUUACCCUUUUGUUAAUUUUGCCUCUCCAAUCUAGGAUGCUUCAACUCUUGCAUUCUCCGCCUGGUAUGGCACCAAGAUUGGAUUUUUAAGGUGUUAGAGCAAGGAUAGAGGAAAUAGAGAAAACCCCAGAAAAGUUCUGGUGAGAAAAAAUGAUGGAAGAUUUAAGCGAAGUGCAUUCUAAGGAUGAUAAAGGUCAGACCGAGAAAAAUCCCAAAAGAAUAAUCAAGACGCGUGCUCAGAUUGAAGCUCUAGAGAAACUUUAUGAAGAACACAAGUACCCUACCGACGAGCUGAAAGCUGAUCUGGCAGAGUCAUCAGGGUUAACAG